GCGGAUGUGGCGGAAUUGGCAGACGCGCUAGAUUCAGGUUCUAGUGCCCGCAAGGGCGUGGAGGUUCAAGUCCUCUCAUCCGCACUA
rnacentral:tRNA from 1 species